CCUACGGGAGGCUGCAGUGAGGAAUAUUGGUCAAUGGGCGCGAGCCUGAACCAGCCAAGCAGCGUGAAGGAUGACUGCCCUACGGGUUGUAAACUUCUUUUAUAAAGGAAUAAAGUCCGGUACGUGUGUCUUUUUGUAUGUACUUUAUGAAUAAGGAUCGGCUAACUCCGUGCCAGCAGCCGCGGUAAUACGGAGGAUCCGAGCGUUAUCCGGAUUUAUUGGGUUUAAAGGGAGCGUAGAUGGGUUGUUAAGUUAGUUGUGAAAUUUUGCGGCUCAACCCUGAAAUUGCAUUUGAUACUGGUAGACUUGAGAACAGUUGAGGUAGGCGGAAUUCAUGGUGUAGCGGUGAAAUGCUUAGAGAUCACAAAGAACACCGAUUGCGAAGGCAGCCUACUAAACUGUAACUGACAUUGAUGCUCGAAAGUGUGGGUAUCAAACAGGAUUAGAUACCCUAGUAGUC
rnacentral:rRNA from 1 species